rnacentral:rRNA from 1 species
CCUACGGGGGGCAGCAGUGGGGAAUAUUGGACAAUGGGCGAAAGCCUGAUCCAGCCAUGCCGCGUGUGUGAAGAAGGCCUUCGGGUUGUAAAGCACUUUCAGUGGGGAAGAAAGCCUUGGGGCUAAUACCCUCGAGGAAGGACAUCACCCACAGAAGAAGCACCGGCUAACUCCGUGCCAGCAGCCGCGGUAAUACGGAGGGUGCGAGCGUUAAUCGGAAUUACUGGGCGUAAAGCGCGCGUAGGCGGUCUGAUAAGCCGGUUGUGAAAGCCCCGGGCUCAACCUGGGAACGGCAUCCGGAACUGUCAGGCUAGAGUGCAGGAGAGGAAGGUGGAAUUCCCGGUGGAGCGGUGAAAUGCGUAGAGAUCGGGAGGAAUACCAGUGGCGAAGGCGGCCUUCUGGACUGACACUGACGCUGAGGUGCGAAAGCGUGGGUAGCAAACAGGAUUAGAUACCCGAGUAGUC